UAUUUUAUCUCUAACAUGGUAUCAAAUCAAAUCAAAAAUUCUUACUUCUGCCGCCAGCGGCACAUAACCGGCGGCAGGCAUCGUUUAUUUUUAUUGUUUAACUUCAUCUUAAAGAAAAAUUAGGUAGAUAGAAUUCAGUUUUAGUUCUUUUGUUGGAGUUGUAGUUUGAGUUUUGUCAUGCGUUGCUAAAGUUGGUGCUCUAGUACUCUGUUGCCCAGAUUUGAGGUUUCUUUCCGAAGAUGCAGGUUCCUUGUUGCAUGUUAUGUUUUUUUCUUAACAAGGGUAAUAUGUCCAGAGCAGUCAAUUUCUCGACUUGAAAUAUGUAAAUGGUUUAUUGGAAAGUAAGGAUUGCAUGCGGUCAAGAUUUCAGGAAGGAAUGUGUCCUUCGAUUUUGUGGGAGGCUAGACAGUCCUCCGUUAUUUCAGGAAGAUAAGGAGUCCUUCUUAGUUGUUUUUGAAGGAUAGAGAGUCUUUCACAUUUGUUAUGGGAGACGAGUAUUCUCUGUCAUUGCCGGCACAUGAUAACCUUGGAAAGUGAAUGUGUGAAGUUAUAUACCGAGGGUAAGAAACCUAACUUUGGACGUAAAAAUAAAAAAAAAUACCAUUGUUCUUUGCAAAUUGAAGAAGGCCUCAAUCUUCAUAGUUCGUUUGAGUAUUUUAUUUUUAAGAUUAUGUUAUGUAACAAAUUGUAAGUCGUGAUAUAAGACUUCAAACUUGAAGGGUAGCAUUAGAGUAUAUUAUUAUUAGGCAAUGAGUCCUUCGUAGUUGAUUUUGAGUCUCUUCUUUUAUUAUGUAACAAGUUGUAAGUUGCAACUAGAGGGGGUAUAUUAGAGUAUAUUAUUAUUAUUAAUUGGUCACCAAGUAUGUUUGGUGCCCACACAUACUUGGCCACUACACAACUAGUAGCCUAUAUAUAAGGCUUUAGUACUCAUUAUAAUAAUAACAACAAUAUUUAAUACAUUGAUUUUAUCUCUAACAUGGUCAAUUUGCAUUGAAAAAAAGAUUAUAACACAACAAUAUUUCAAUACAUCACCAUGUUAGAGAUAAAAUAGAUGUACUGAAUAUUGCUGUUAUUAUUACAAUGAGUAUUAAAACCUUAUAUAUAGGCUACUAGUUAAGUAGUGACCAAGUAUGUGUAGGCACCAAACACUUGGUGACCAAGUAAUAAUAAUAAUAUACUCUAAUACUCCUCCUCAAGUUGGAAGUCAUAUAUCAUGACUUACAAUUUGUUACAUAACAAAAUAAAAUACUCAAAAUCAACUACGAAGGACUCCUUGCCUAAUAAUAAUAUACUCUAAUAUAAACAAAUCAAAUUAUAUGUACAAGUCAC
rnacentral:lncRNA from 1 species